rnacentral:piRNA from 1 species
UAAUUCCUAUUAAUAGUUGCUACAUAAACC